rnacentral:miRNA from 1 species
AUUUUGCUCUUACGUUUCACU